rnacentral:rRNA from 1 species
CUCAGAUUGAACGCUGGCGGCAGGCCUAACACAUGCAAGUCGAGCGGCAGCACGGGUACUUGUACCUGGUGGCGAGCGGCGGACGGGUGAGUAAUGCCUAGGAAUCUGCCUGGUAGUGGGGGAUAACGCUCGGAAACGGACGCUAAUACCGCAUACGUCCUACGGGAGAAAGCAGGGGACCUUCGGGCCUUGCGCUAUCAGAUGAGCCUAGGUCGGAUUAGCUAGUUGGUGAGGUAAUGGCUCACCAAGGCGACGAUCCGUAACUGGUCUGAGAGGAUGAUCAGUCACACUGGAACUGAGACACGGUCCAGACUCCUACGGGAGGCAGCAGUGGGGAAUAUUGGACAAUGGGCGAAAGCCUGAUCCAGCCAUGCCGCGUGUGUGAAGAAGGUCUUCGGAUUGUAAAGCACUUUAAGUUGGGAGGAAGGGCAUUUACCUAAUACGUAAGUGUUUUGACGUUACCGACAGAAUAAGCACCGGCUAACUCUGUGCCAGCAGCCGCGGUAAUACAGAGGGUGCAAGCGUUAAUCGGAAUUACUGGGCGUAAAGCGCGCGUAGGUGGUUUGUUAAGUUGGAUGUGAAAUCCCCGGGCUCAACCUGGGAACUGCAUUCAAAACUGACAAGCUAGAGUAUGGUAGAGGGUGGUGGAAUUUCCUGUGUAGCGGUGAAAUGCGUAGAUAUAGGAAGGAACACCAGUGGCGAAGGCGACCACCUGGACUGAUACUGACACUGAGGUGCGAAAGCGUGGGGAGCAAACAGGAUUAG